GACGAACGCUGGCGGCGUGCUUAACACAUGCAAGUCGAACGGAAAGGCCCUGCUUGCAGGGUACUCGAGUGGCGAACGGGUGAGUAACACGUGGGUGAUCUGCCCUGCACUUCGGGAUAAGCCUGGGAAACUGGGUCUAAUACCGGAUAGGAGCCAUUUUUAGUGUGAUGGUUGGAAAGUUUUUUCGGUGUAGGAUGAGCUCGCGGCCUAUCAGCUUGUUGGUGGGGUAAUGGCCUACCAAGGCGGCGACGGGUAGCCGGCCUGAGAGGGUGGACGGCCACAUUGGGACUGAGAUACGGCCCAGACUCCUACGGGAGGCAGCGGUGGGGAAUAUUGCACAAUGGGCGCAAGCCUGAUGCAGCGACGCCGCGUGGGGGAUGACGGCCUUCGGGUUGUAAACUCCUUUCGCUAGGGACGAAGCUUUUUGUGACGGUACCUAGAUAAGAAGCACCGGCUAACUAC
rnacentral:rRNA from 1 species